UACAGAGGGGGCAAGCGUUGUUCGGAAUUACUGGGCGUAAAGGGCGCGUAGGCGGCCUGUUAAGUCGAACGUGAAAUCCCCGGGCUCAACCCGGGAACUGCGUCCGAAACUGGCAGGCUUGAAUCCGGGAGAGGGAUGUGGAAUUCCAGGUGUAGCGGUGAAAUGCGUAGAUAUCUGGAGGAACAUCGGUGGCGAAGGCGACAUCCUGGACCGGUAUUGACGCUGAGGCGCGAAAGCGUGGGGAGCAAACGGG
rnacentral:rRNA from 1 species